rnacentral:rRNA from 1 species
ACGGGAGGCAGCAGUGAGGGAUAUUGCACAAUGGGCGAAAGCCUGAUGCAGCAACGCCGCGUGAGGGAUGACGGUUUUCGGAUUGUAAACCUCUGUCUUCGGUGAAGAUAAUGACAUUAGCCGAGGAGGAAGCCACGGCUAACUACGUGCCAGCGGCCGCGGUAAUACGUAGGUGGCAAGCGUUGUCCGGAUUUACUGGGUGUAAAGGGAGCGCAGGCGGGAGAUCAAGUCAGUGGUGAAAUGCAUAGGCUUAACCUAUGAACUGCCAUUGAAACUGACCUUCUUGAGUGAAGUAGAGGCAAGCGGAAUUCCGAGUGUAGCGGUGAAAUGCGUAGAUAUUCGGAGGAACACCAGUGGCGAAGGCGGCUUGCUGGGCUUUUACUGACGCUGAGGCUCGAAAGUGUGGGGAGCAAACAGGAUUAGAUACCCUGGUA